rnacentral:rRNA from 1 species
UUUAUGGAGAGUUUGAUCCUGGCUCAGGAUGAACGCUGGCGGCGUGCCUAAUACAUGCAAGUCGAGCGAACGGACGAGAAGCUUGCUUCUCUGAUGUUAGCGGCGGACGGGUGAGUAACACGUGGAUAACCUACCUAUAAGACUGGGAUAACUUCGGGAAACCGGAGCUAAUACCGGAUAAUAUUUUAAACCGCAUGGUUCAAAAGUGAAAGACGGUCUUGCUGUCACUUAUAGAUGGAUCCGCGCUGCAUUAGCUAGUUGGUAAGGUAACGGCUUACCAAGGCAACGAUGCAUAGCCGACCUGAGAGGGUGAUCGGCCACACUGGAACUGAGACACGGUCCAGACUCCUACGGGAGGCAGCAGUAGGGAAUCUUCCGCAAU